rnacentral:rRNA from 1 species
GACGAACGCUGGCGGCGUGCUUAACACAUGCAAGUCGAACGGAAAGGCCCUGCUUUUGUGGGGUGCUCGAGUGGCGAACGGGUGAGUAACACGUGAGUAACCUGCCCUUGACUUUGGGAUAACUUCAGGAAACUGGGGCUAAUACCGGAUAGGAGCUCCUGCUGCAUGGUGGGGGUUGGAAAGUUUCGGCGGUUGGGGAUGGACUCGCGGCUUAUCAGCUUGUUGGUGGGGUAGUGGCCUACCAAGGCUUUGACGGGUAGCCGGCCUGAGAGGGUGACCGGCCACAUUGGGACUGAGAUACGGCCCAGACGCCUACGGGAGGCAGCAGUGGGGAAUAUUGCACAAUGGGCGGAAGCCUGAUGCAGCAACGCCGCGUGCGGGAUGACGGCCUUCGGGUUGUAAACCGCUUCCGCCUGUGACGAAGCGUGAGUGACGGUAAUGGGUAAAGAAGCACCGGCUAACUACGUG